UGUCUCCUAGAUUGAUCCUUUUGUACUUGGGUUAGGGCACCCCUUGUGCUCCCUAUUAAUUCAUUUGCUUAUAAAAAAAAAAAAGAGUUUGAGGAGGGAAAUAUUAGAGGACUUCUAUCAUUAUUUUUAAACCAUACAUUCUAGUUCUAGUAGACUGUAUCAAGAUGUGAAGGAAUUUUGUCGGUGCGAAGGAAUGAAGAAAGACAUAGUGAAUUUUGUUUAUAAAUGUUUAGUAUGACAUGGAUUGAAGGAUAAGCACUAAGAACUAGAAGAGCUAGGUCAAUUUAUCGAGAUAUCACUAUGGAAGUUGGAAAGUAUUGUUGUGAAUUUGGUGACAAGUUUUUUUAGGAUCAAAGGUUAUGAUUAUAUUUAGGUAAUCAUGGAUUAGUUGAUUAAGUUUGCAUAUUUCUUAUAAGUGAACACUACUUACAUUGCAACUCAAUAUGCUAAGUGUCGUUUGGAUGAGAUUAUUUCUUGCAUGGUGUACCCUUAGUUAUGUGUUCAUAUUGAGGAACUAUAUUCACUUUUUAGUUUUUCAAAUCGUUUCGAACUGCUUUAGGAACUCACUUGACAAUGAGGAUAGGUUUCCAUUCCCAAACAGGUGGCCAUUCUUAGAGACUAUUCAAAUCUUAUAGGAUAUGUUUCGUGUUUGUGUUUUAGACCUUAGAGAUAGUUGUGAUGAUUAUUUAACCCGGAUCAAGCUUGAUUAUAAUAACAAUUAUCAGUCUUGUAUUAAGAUGGCACCAUUUGAAGCCUUAUAUGGUAGGAGAUGAAGAUCACCUAUAGGUUGGUUCGAGGUUGGAGAAGCUAAACUUGUAGGCUCAGAACUUAUUCAGGACGCAAUAGAGAAGAUUAAGAUAGUUCAAGACCGCUUGGUUACAACUCAAAGUAGGCAGAAGUCAUAUGCUGAUAAGAGGCGACGCCCUUUGGAGUUUGCAGUUGGUGACCAUGUCUUUUUACGUGUUUCUCCAAUGAAAGGAGUGCUACGGUUUGGUAAAAAGGGAAAACUGAGUCCAAGGUUCAUUGGACCGUUUGAGGUAUUGGAGAGGGUUGGUUCUGUAUCUUAUCGUUUGGCACUUCCGCCAGAUCUUUCUGCAGUUCAUCCAGUCUUUCAUGUUUCUAUGCUGCGGAAGUACCUAUAUGAUCCUUCUCACAUCAUCCAUCAUGAGGAUGUACACGGAGCAUCCAGUAGCUAUAGUUGAUAGACAAGUGAAACGUCUACGUUCUAAAGAUGUUGGUUCAGUAAAAGUUCUUUGGAAAGGACCAUCGAGUGAAGAGGCGACUUGGGAGGCCGAGGAUAUCAUGCGGGAAAAGUAUCCCCACUUGUUCGAAUCUCAAGGUUAGUGUGACUUUAAAAUUCGAGGACGAAUUUUAUAUAAGGAGGGAAGAUUGAAACGACCCGUUUAAUGUUUAUGAGCUUAAUUAUUAUAAUUGUCAUUAUCAUAUUAUAUUAUAUAAAAGUGAUUAUGCAAGGAUGGGGGAGGAAAAAAAAAACGUGGUCUGAUUGAAAAGGGGGUGGGGUCACGUAACCCACCUUUUGUUUUUGAAAAUAAGAUACCCUAAUUGUUUAAAGAAAAACCAUUGAACCUACUCCCAAUAUUUCUUUCCCAGCCGUAACCUCCCUUUCUUCUUUCUCGACAUAUUCUCCUCCUUACUUCUCCCACAGAACUUCUUCAAUUUCUUCUUUUACUCUUGUUCCAAAGGAAAACAGCCCCAAUUCCCCUUUAAUAUAUAUCCAUUCACGAACAAGGUUGACGGGGUUUCAAAUGGAACAAACCUGGUUUAACUGUUUGGAGUAGGAGUGGUGCUUUGAAGGAGAAGUAAAUCCAGCCCUUCAGCAUUGUCCAAUUCAAUUUAUUUAAGAUUUGACGGGUGAAGGUUCGUUGGGUUGUCGCGAAAUUGCUGAGGACGGUCCAGUUGGCUCGUUAUAGCUAUUCUUCAGCAGCUGAGUAGCAAGCUGUUCUUGGAUUCAGAUUGUCAGUUGUCUUGCUGGUAGGCCUCCAUCAGCUGGUGGCCUCAUUGCUAUGUUACUUCUUUGAUUCUAGUUAUCUGCAGCUAUAGGGAGUCAUAAGUGAAUUUAGUUUGGGGUUGAAGGUAUCUUCUUAAUUUUAAAGGUUGACAUUGAGCGUCAAAUUUUGGUUUUGUACCUUUUCUUGAAAUUUGGAUUUGGAGAAUAUUAUUUAGCAAGUUAUGUUAUUUUGAGAUUACUGAAAUACAAAGGAGACUCUGUCUUUUUUUAUAAAUUUAUGCGGACGUAUUUAUCGUGGUGAA